rnacentral:rRNA from 1 species
UACGUAGGGCGCAAGCGUUGUCCGGAAUUAUUGGGCGUAAAGAGCUCGUAGGCGGCUUGUCACGUCGAUUGUGAAAGCCCGGGGCUUAACCUCGGGUCUGCAGUCGAUACGGGCUGGCUAGAGUGUGGUAGGGGAGAUCGGAAUUCCUGGUGUAGCGGUGAAAUGCGCAGAUAUCAGGAGGAACACCGGUGGCGAAGGCGGAUCUCUGGGCCAUUACUGACGCUGAGGAGCGAAAGCGUGGGGAGCGAACAGG